rnacentral:misc_RNA from 1 species
UUUUCUGCUGUUGUGAUUGGGAUAAGUGGUCUUGGUGUUUAUGAAGUGAUUUGUGACCAAGGAAGAUACAAAGAUGAUGUUAUCUGUCUUAGUGGGAUUGAACAGUCUCUUUUUUGUGUUGGAAAUCGUGGUUUCAGUCAUUAAAUUUGACGAUUUGUUUUUGUAGAAGAAAAAAGAAAUUAUCUUUCUUGUGUGCUGCUUGUCUUUAACUAUUUGGCUUUUUGCAGUUGUUAGAAUGAUGAUGGAGAGAUGGAAAUUAAGAGUAAUCAAAGUUAUGGGAUUUGAAAUGUUUCAAGUUUUGUGGAUUUGAAUUAUAAUUUGUUUGUAUCAUCCAAUUCCCUCAAUACGUGCGACACAACGAUUCUUUAGUCGAUAUCUUCUUUGUCUUCAGCAUAUAUGUGCUCUAUAAGGUAACAAUUCAAUGGAACUCUGCUACUUUCAUUUUUCUGAAAUUGAUUGGUUGGUGUAUGUUUAUGGAAACUAUGCCUAAUUGGUUUGAUCUAUCUGGUUUUUACAGGACAAAUCACCAGAGACAAUAAAGUAGAUUUUUUUUUGCUAAAGUGAAAUGAUUACAUUUAUGGAAGCCAAAGAGAGGGUGAAGGAGGUGGAGAAGUGCUUAGACUCUCAGCUAUGGCAUGCCUGCGCUGGUGGAAUGAUCCAAAUGCCUAUGGUGAACUCCAAGGUCUUCUACUUCCCUCAAGGCCACUGUGAGCAUGCCUCUGGUCCUAUGGAUUUCAGGAACUUCCCUCGCGUCCCUUCAUAUAUCCUUUGUAGGGUUUUGGCUGUUAAAUUCAUGGCUGAUCCUGAAACCGAUGAGGUUUAUGCCAACAUGAAGUUGGCUCCAAUUACUAGCAGCGAGCCUGGUUUGGAGGAAGAAGAGGAACGUGUAAUUAAUGGGGGAGAAGGGCAAGAGAAUAAGCCAGCUUCCUUUGCUAAGACAUUGACCCAAUCGGAUGCUAACAAUGGUGGAGGUUUCUCCGUGCCAAGGUAUUGUGCAGAGACCAUUUUUCCACGGCUGGAUUACUCAGCGGAUCCGCCUGUGCAGACCAUUCUUGCUAAGGAUGUUCAUGGAGAUACAUGGAAAUUUAGGCAUAUUUAUAGAGGGACACCAAGGAGACAUCUUUUAACUACUGGCUGGAGCACAUUUGUGAAUCAUAAAAAGCUGGUUGCAGGGGAUUCCAUAGUGUUUUUGAGGGCAGAGAAUGGAGAU